rnacentral:rRNA from 1 species
CCGGCGACCGGCGCACGGGUGAGUAACACGUAUGGAACCUGCCCGCAGCAGGGGGAUAAGCGGAAGAAAUUCCGUCUAAUACCGCGUAACACCGCGGAGGGGCAUCCCUCGGCGGUUAAAGAUUCAUCGGCUGCGGAUGGCCAUGCGGCGCAUUAGCUAGCCGGCGGGGUAACGGCCCACCGAGGCGACGAUGCGUAGGGGUUCUGAGAGGAAGGUCCCCCACACUGGUACUGAGACACGGACCAGACUCCUACGGAAGGCAGCAG